GAUGAAGAACGCAGCGAAAUGCGAUAAGUAAUGUGAAUUGCAGAAUUCAGUGAAUCAUCGAAUCUUUGAACGCACAUUGCGCCCGCCAGUAUUCUGGCGAGCAUGCCUGUUCGAGCGUCAUUUCAACCAUCAAGCCCCAGGCUUGUGUUGGAGCCCUGCGGCUGCCGCAGCCUCCCAAAACCAGUGGCGGGCUCGCUAUCACACCGAGUGCAGUAGUUUACUCUUCGCUCAGGGCGUGUGGCGGGUGCUAGCCGUGAAACCCCCAACUUCUCAAGGUUGACCUCGGAUCAGGUAGGAAUACCCGCUGAAUUUAAGCAUAUCAAUAAGCGGAGGA
rnacentral:misc_RNA from 1 species